rnacentral:lncRNA from 1 species
GUCAGAAAUGUUUACAACAGCAUUGUUUAUAAAAGACUCAAUGUGGAACUGGCUCAAAUUUUCAUCACGAGAGCAUGAAAAAAUAAAGUGGUAUAUCUUAAGGUAAUACUUUCUCCCAGUGGAACUGAUUAAAAUACAGCUAGACACACACGGAUGUAUCUCACAAACAUAAAGAAGCGAGUGCUGAAGAAUAGAUCAUGGAUAAGUUCCUCUGGAUACAGCAAAAAUAUGCAAUAAAAUCUAAUCCCUGGAAGAAUACAGUGAAACACGUAAGGAGCAACACAACUGUUGAUGCUGUGCUUGAAAAAGUUAUUUCAACCGCAAUUAGACAAUGAGUUGUCUUUCUCCCAGGACCAUGGACAGCACAAGGGUGACGCGAGCAUGAUUAUUAAAGCAUGUCUGGCUUUCUUCUCAGCUCUACUGCAAGUUAGUCAGUCAUGGCUACAAAGAAGUGUGUUGGGUUGCCUCUUGACCUUCAGUUGUUUACUGUAAUUUACAGUAAUAAAACAUAAACAUAUUUACAUAUAACGUAAAUUAAUUUAUUUUGUGUCACGUGACUUGAC